rnacentral:lncRNA from 1 species
GGGAGUAGUAGUCUUUCAUUGCUCUUUUUUCUCUCUCCCAGCCCCAAAAUAUUUCUAAACUAUUUCAGAAAUAGUUACCUAUAUGCAACUGUGAUUUAAUGAAAUGUUUGAGUUAAGUAGAGAUAAAUUUUGUAAUAAAAGGAAGGAAACGUAGUUACUUGCAUUCUUUUUUUUUAUAUUGUAUUUUAUAGUUAUUUUGAAGAACCAUUUAAGACAUUUUUAUUAAUUCUAGAAAGGCCAAUAAUCUUGGAUCACACUAAGGAUAAACUAAAUCUGAAAAAAAAUAAGAGAUCUUCAAUGGGCUAAAUAUAUAUGGUGAUUUUAGGCUCUUGUUCAUGUCUAAAUUUUGUUUCCACUGCUGUUUUAAGAAGGUACGAAACAUGGGAUAUUUAUAUAUGAUGAAUUGGUGAAUUUAAUUAAACACUUUAAUAAAUAUUGGUUAUAUUAUUUAUGUCAUCUAUAUAGUUUAAAAAACAAAUAGCAUUCUUUAUAGAGAUAUUUGCAGUAGCAAUUUUAAAGAAUAUAUUUUCAUUGUUUUGUUAACAAAUCAAACUUUU